CCUACGGGAGGCAGCAGUGGGGAAUAUUGCACAAUGGGCGCAAGCCUGAUGCAGCCAUGCCGCGUGUAUGAAGAAGGCCUUCGGGUUGUAAAGUACUUUCAGCGAGGAGGAAGGCGUUAAGGUUAAUAACCUUAGCGAUUGACGUUACUCGCAGAAGAAGCACCGGCUAACUCCGUGCCAGCAGCCGCGGUAAU
rnacentral:rRNA from 1 species